rnacentral:rRNA from 1 species
UACGUAGGGUGCGAGCGUUGUCCGGAAUUAUUGGGCGUAAAGGGCUCGUAGGCGGUUUGUCGCGUCGGGAGUGAAACCCGAGGCUCAACCUCGGGCCUGCAGUGGGUACGGGCAGACUAGAGUGCGGUAGGGAGAUGGAAUUCCCGGUGGUAGCGGUGAAAUUGCGCAGAUAUCGGAGGAACACCGGUGGCGGAAGGCGGUUCUCUGGCCGUUACCUGGACGCUGAGGAGCGAAGCGUGGGAGCGAACAGG